rnacentral:rRNA from 1 species
GUGUCAGCAGCCGCGGUAAUACGUAGGGGGCAAGCGUUGUCCGGAGUUACUGGGCGUAAAGCGCACGCAGGCGGUCAUGUAAGUUUGGAGUGACAGUGCCCGGCUUAACUGGGCAAGUGCUUCGAAAACUGCACGACUUGAGGGCUUCAGAGGGACACGGAAUUCCGGGUGUAGUGGUGAAAUGCGUAGAUAUCCGGAGGAACACCGAAGGCGUAGGCAGUGUCCUGGGGAGUACCUGACGCUCAGGUGCGAAAGCCAGGGGAGCGAACGGGAUUAGAUACCCCGGUAGUCC